CACCCUGGGCAAAUGUCUAUUCCCCGGGGCUAAAGCUCUGAGUUCCGGAUUGGAUUGCAAGGCAGUUUCGAAAUCUAACACGUUGUGGAUAGACACUUGUCAUACUCACAUGCUCUUUAAACGUCUCGGCUAGGGGACGGCCAGAACGUGCGUGUGUGUGACCCACUACGACUCCCCCACCCCCCACACGCCUUUAGAAAAAAGAUGGACGAGUACGCCUGGACUGCUCAUCUGUUUCGGUAAACAGUGUCUACUUUGUGGGCUAAUAUCCCACCAGAGGACACUCCCCUCCACCCUUCAGUAUUUCAAACAGAAACUAGCCAUUAAAUAAACACUCGUUCCUAUUGGUUUAUUUUGCUUGAGAGGGGCGCUCCAAAGGGAUUUCCAGGAAGAAUCCCCCCCUCCCCAAAUACAAGCCAGAUGCUGUUUUGGCCAACUUCAAGACGCACAUGCCCGCACUUCUGGGUCUAGAUUCUACCUAUGCCCGGUUGUUUAAAAAAAAAAAAAUGCAAAGAAAACCAACUGUCACAUGUCACAGAAGACUUUCCCCAUUAGAGGGGGGGGGGAAAAACGAAGAAAAACCCCAAACGUAAAUAAGCUUUGUAGCGACGUCACCGCCGGUGUCUCUAGUUUCGGCUCUGUGGCUGUUCUGGUUUUGUGACCUCGGUGGAGAUCCGGCAGGAGGAGACAGCCCCGUGAAAACAAGGUUAAAGCCGAGUCACACUAAGGCGGCCACAGGAUGACCCGCUAGACUUUGGAACCUGUUUACGAUUACGUUGGAAAUGAAAGCAAGCCUCCGCCGCGCCCCCUUCCCAAAGACAACCCGUUCCGAGGAGCGCGUUAAAACCCCCGAGUCAAAAAAGAAGCUUGGGUGGUUUUUCCAAAAUGAACCAAGUGGAGGAAGAGUCACAGUAAGCAGGCAGGAAUCUCAAAACGACCCUCCCCUCCCCCCAAAUCCUGUGGUUUGCAGAGCGCUCGCUCGGGAAGAGAGCACACGCGGGAAUCGGCGCAGGCGGCGGUUGCACGGCAGUGUCCAGGGCGAACCCACCGGCUGGCAAGCACCUCCGCAAGCCGCCCGGGGCGCAGCGCUUUCCGGGACCUGACUGGGGAUGACUCAGCUACUGCGCUCCAGUGCGGGACUCCUGUGGUGCGGGAGGGGGCCCGCGGAGGGCCCGGGCGCCCGUUGGAGGGCCCUCGCUCUGGGGUUUGAAGGGGUGUUUGUGGCUGGGAUUGGUGGCUCACAUCCGCCGGGGACUCGGGAGAGAUGGGAGGACAGACGCAGGGAGGAGGAGCUGGACGGCGUGAGUGGCAGGAGCCGAGUCCCGACCUGGCCGUGACUGCUUCGUCGCUUUGUUUGCUAACUUGGACUGUGGCUUUCGGGGGGCCACCCCACGGAACCCGCCUCGGGUCCGCUAAGCCCAACCCACGGCAGCACGAGGCCGAAACGUUCCUUCCCGGCGGUUACUCGCGGCCACGCGGUGGCUCUCAUUAUGUACACAAAGGGCGAGCGGGAGCCGGUACAGAGUAGAAGAAGCCUCUCUCAAACCGGGACGGGAGGGGAAAUGCAGAAUUAAAACUCACCGUGACGCGAAGGCCAGCCGGACCCCGCCAAUGCACACCUCCUGCUCGUGUAAAUCAUUUCGAGGCAGUUGGGAAGCCGGAGCGCGCUGGCCGGGUUCUGAGAUCAGCUGAAGCCCCACGGUGCCCCUCCCCCCAGCCCCACUCCACCCCUAAGGCCGAGCUCGUUGGGAGUUUCGCGUUCCCGCAGGACUGUGCGCCGGGUCUUUUACAACUCCAGAAAAGGGGAACGCCCCCGCCCCCCUCCUCCCCGGCGCGAGCUCAUAACAUCCGCAAUAUUUUUUUUUUUAAUCCGCUGUCUGCACGGCGGAAAAACAAGCUUCGGUUCUGGCUGUGUCAGGGCCUCUCGGUGUAACUGAUUCAAGUGACUUCGGGUUAGUUGCUGUUGCCACGUGUUAAACUUACUGAACGCUUAUGCCUCAUAAUCAAAUUGUCUAAGUGCAA